GCAAAGUCAGGCAGGCAAAACGCCCUGCCAGCCAUUACCACAGUGAGCACCAGUAUGGUAGUGUCUACCGGUUCCAAAAUCUGCCAUGUGAAGUUGAGCUAGAUCUCAUUAAGUAACUUUCUAAUCUGCAUUUGAGUAUAGACCUAAUCUGUUAUGUUCAAGUUAAGUUCUUUUAUACCGUGGCAGGUUCUCCUAUGCUGUUCUCUAAAUCCAACUGAGCCUGUGAACAGGCCUGUAAACUGUUAGUGGAGCUUGAUCUCUACAUGUUAUAGAUUAUUCUCACUCAUUUUAUAGCUUGAGGUGUUAUUUUUUUACAUCUUUAUCUUUUCUUUCUUUUAAUGCCAGGAGUCUGAGAAAUAAUUUAAAACGCAAAGCGGUUUUCUUAUUUAUUAGGAAGUUUAAAUGUGAUUUAUGUUUCCUACAAGAGUCUAACUGCACAACAGAUGACUUGCCUUUUUGGAGGACUCAGUGGGGCAAAGACUUAUGGGGAGGUCAUGGAUCUGAAAGGUCCAAAAGGCAUAAAGGAGUGUGCUGCAGACCAUGCGUGGCCUCAGUUAACGUUUAGUUCAUGCAAUCAUUUUCUUUCAACCUUUUGUAAGCAAGAAGUAAUAAAACACUCAUAUGUUGGAACGCACUAUCUAGACAUUAUUAUAUAUUUUUUGGUUCAUGUAUUUCUACGAGCAAGCAAGCGUCAUAAGUCUCAGUCAGUCCAAGAGUGAUUCAUACAAAGACCUUAACCUCUAUAAUUGACACAGUCACCUGAAUUAUGUGCUGCCAUUUAUAGAAAUAAAGACAUUUACUCCAUAAA